UGCAUCAUCAAAAGCCAUGCUGUUGUGAGUUGCAGUCAGGUGUCUCCGUUGUUGUCUCAUGUGUUGACGGGGAUGUUUUUCCCGGCGCACAUGUUCUUUAUCAUCUACGGCCCGUUUCACAUUCAUACAGCUACUUUGCAUUCAUUCCCACCUGGCCGGUGCAAGCAGUCGUGCUCAGCUGGCCGCCGGGACAUCGAGGCAGAUAAGAUGCACCUCUGUGGUGGCUGCUGGGGGUGAGGACGCCCUUCAUAUGUCUCCUUGCAUUACUCUCCCUCUGCAUUACCAGCAAAGCGUGGAAUAACUCGCCAACAGAAUCAGCAGACACCUGUUUACAAGUCCCAGCACCGGCGGAGAUAAAUGAAAUCAAUACCCCGGCUGCCGUGCAAUUUCUCUGUCGCGCCGCCGUCCACAAGCUUAUAUCACCGCACGUCUUUAAAGUGCAGAACUGAUUAUGAAGCACAUUGCAGAUCUGCUUACUUGAAAAAUUGGUAAUUAUAGGCAGCAGAGUGUGGUAUUGGUGGAGUAGAGAUACUGUAAGUCGUGAACCAUCUUUUGAAAUUGUUACGGUAAGCAGAGAGGAAGCGCCAUGCCUCAUAAUCAAUGCUCAUCCUUAAAGCUGGUAAUAGCUGGGAGGGACUUCACAGAAACAGACCAACUUCAUCUUUGUUCUGUUGAGACCUGAAUCUAUAACAUAUUAAGGAGAAAAAAAAAAACACAAGAUUAAUACUGUUUUUUUUAACUUCUGUAUUGCUUUUCAAGGCAAUCCAACAUAAAGUCAAAUGAUGUACAGUAUAAUGGA